GACAGGUAGCCAGAUCUGUCGCUGACGAUUUAUCUUUUGAGGCCUAAAAUAUUUCGGUCACAUGUGAUAUCUGCGGGAGAAAAAAAAAACAGUCUUUCCUGUCUGCGGGACUAUAAGACAAUAAGACUUUGACAAAAGCCCAAAGUUUACAUCGAAAGGCUGCAGUAAGUUGACCGUUUCUUGAGCACAAUGAAGAUUGUAUCUACCUUUUGUUGUGGAUUAUCGCGACCUCCACCUCUGCCUUACCCCGGGGGUACGGGCGGAUGCACCACGAGGAGCUGCUAAUGAAGGCUGCAGACUUGCUAGCCCGGGCAGAGGAGGAUGGAGGGCGACUGAUCAGCCAGAUGCUUCUAGACCAAGACUUCAGCCACAACGAAAAGUGUAUGUAUCAGCUAUGUAAUGUCACAUUCCUGUGUGUGUGUCAGAGAGAGAGAGA